rnacentral:rRNA from 1 species
UAGGGAAUCUUCCACAAUGGACGAAAGUCUGAUGGAGCAACGCCGCGUGAGUGAAGAAGGUUUUCGGAUCGUAAAGCUCUGUUGUUGGUGAAGAAGGAUAGAGGCGGUAACUGGUCUUUAUUUGACGGUAAUCAACCAGAAAGUCACGGCUAACUACGUGCCAC